rnacentral:rRNA from 1 species
UACGGGGGGAGCAAGCGUUGUUCGGAUUUACUGGGCGUAAAGGGCGCGUAGGCGGCGCAACAAGUCACUUGUGAAAUCUCCGGGCUUAACCCGGAGCGGUCAAGUGAUACUGUCGUGCUAGAGUGCGGAAGGGGCUACUGGAAUUCUCGGUGUAGCGGUGAAAUGCGUAGAUAUCCGGAGGAACACCAGUGGCGAAAGCGGCCACCUGGACUGCACC